AACGAACGCUGGCGGCGUGCUUAACACAUGCAAGUCGAACGAUGAACUUGGAGCUUGCUCUGGGGGAUUAGUGGCGAACGGGUGAGUAACACGUGAGUAACCUGCCCUGGACUCUGGGAUAACUUCGAGAAAUCGGAGCUAAUACCGGAUAGGACCUUGCACCGCAGGGUGUGGGGUGGAAAGUUUUUCGGUUUGGGAUGGACUCGCGGCCUAUCAGCUUGUUGGUGAGGUAAUGGCUCACCAAGGCGUCGACGGGUAGCCGGCCGGAGAGGGUGACCGGCCACACUGGGACUGAGACACGGCCCAGACUCCUACGGGCGGCAGCAGUGGGGAAUAUUGCACAAUGGGCGCAAGCCUGAUGCAGCAACGCCGCGUGCGGGAUGACGGCCUUCGGGUUGUAAACCGCUUUUAGUAGGGAAGAAGCCUUCGGGUGACGGUACCUGCAGAAAAAGGACCGGCUAACUACGUGCCAGCAGCCGCGGUAACAC
rnacentral:rRNA from 1 species